rnacentral:lncRNA from 1 species
UAGUUAAAAGUUCCAAAUGUUUUAUCUAUAAAAUAAUUAGUUUUAUCUAAUUAUUUUAUAGAUAAAACUAAUAAUAGUUUUAUAAUAAUUAUACCAAUUUUCCCUUCAUAUGUUUUAUCUACAUGAAGGGAAAUAAUUAGUUUCUUAACCAUUCAUAAAAUAAUGGCAAAAUUUUGUCUCCUUUUACUCUUUCUUGCUAACUUAGAUAUGAGCAUCAGCGUAUCCAUCGGAUAAAAAUAAUUACCUAAAUCCACCCAUAUUUUUUUGGAUAUUAUCUUAUAAUAUCUAUAUCCAUAACCAUAUAAUUUUGGAUGGAUAUUAUGCAAUCCAAUAUUGAUGAAUAUUCUAGACAUCCAAUAUGCAUAGUCCAAUUGCCAUCCCUAGCAAAAGCCAAAAGGUGUGGAAAUCUUUAUUUUAUUUCAUAUACAACUUCAAAUUUCUCUAAUAUUAAUUUAUAUAUCUCAUUAGAAAAAAGGGCAUCGGAAGACUAUAUGUUUAAAAAGCUUUCUUUUUCGAGUAAAUGUUUGAAAUGAAGUUUUAAUGUUUCGUUCUGGGCUUUGCGUUCAUAUUUUGCAUCAUUGAAUGCCUUAAUUUGGACGAAACUUUUGAUAUUUUUUGUUCCACGGUUGUGCCAUAUCAAUUCUUAAACCAUAUGAAAAAACGACCGAAAUUAACAAUAAUUUGAGCUUGUCUUGUCUGGUCAGCUUAUCAAAAAAAUAAAAAAUUGCAGUGAAUAAUUAAUGUUUUUCUGUACUUCCUGCUCAAUGUUGCGCUCUAUGAUUACAGAAUUUGCUGCUCGAAGUUAUGAAUUAAGAAUUGAUCAGGUCACUUCUCUGGGUGCGCAGCAUCAGGAAAUAAGAGCUAUUUUUCUGCGAAUUGUGAAAACAUGUCUUAAACGUUCCGCCUGUUGAAAGUUAAUUUCCGUCUUCGUUGUUCUACUUGUGCUUUACUUCACAGCAUCGGUACAGCUUUGAAAGUGUUAAAGCAACCAACCCUUGAGCAGUCUCCUUCGUUUGAAUAUCUUAAGUUGAAAGACAAUUAAUAUAAAGACGUAUAAUUUACUAUUGUUGUCGUCACUGUUAUUAUUAUUACUACUAUUUCAAAAUUUCAAGGUAUUGGAGAUGUGAAAUUUUAGAUCUAUAUUCAAGGUACACUCUGAUGCUUAAUAGUUAAUACAUGACAUCCAAUGUCUUAGUUUGUUUAUUUUGUUUGGCAAAUUUCAAAGAAUAUAUAGGUUUCAAAAAGUUUCUCUAAUCAUAUGCUGAAAGUCUUAUUGGGAGCAAGUGCAUUUUGCAACCCAAGCCUUUUCAUUUGGUCAAA